rnacentral:tRNA from 1 species
GUUCUGGUAGUGCAAACAGUUAACAUGUUUGGCUACUAACCAAAAGGUUGGAAGUUCAAGUCUACCCAGAGGCA